UUUUGAGCUUAUGAAAAAUAUUUUGGAUAAAUUUAUAAAUUUCAAAAAUUGAUUUAAAGGGUAUUUAGGUCUUUCUAGUUCCAAAAUACGAGGCCCAGUCGCACAAAGCGCGAGUGUAUAACACAUCGAGCUCGUAGGGUCCUUUUUGGCUUUGACUAUUUUUCACAGGGGGUUUUGUGCUAAUAUUUUUAACACGAGGGGUUCUUCAGCUAUUCGAGAUUACACA
rnacentral:lncRNA from 1 species